rnacentral:lncRNA from 1 species
GAUUGACUUGAUCAGUUUUAAAAAUAGGCUGACAGUAGCAAUGGUCUGAUUAAGCCUUUGUCUAAGAGGGGCAAGAGAGAUGCUGAGUGGGAAAAUGGUGCCUCGGCUGAUGACUUGAGAUAGACCCCUGGAUCCCACAUAGUGAAAGAAGAAAACAGACUCCUGGCUCUGAAAGGGUAAGCCAAUUCGAGAGUUAAGAAUUCUAAUUCCAUACGUAGAAAACUGAAAGAAUUUUAAAUUGUGUUUUAAUGUGAAGGAACGUGAGAAGGGUAAGAAUGCAUCUUAUCGUAUUAAGAAAUGAUUGCCUACAUUCUAACCUUUGUAAAAGGCUGUUAUGAAAUGUAAAUGUAUCUAGAGGUUUUUCUAAAAGCAAAUGCAUUUCAAUGACAUAAAACUAGAACACAACUCUCUCUGUAAAGCAGCAGAUCUUUCUGUUGUUUUUAUUUGUCUGUUG